GCCUUCUUGGCUUAGUUGGUUAAAGCGUCGGUCUCAUAUUCGUAUGAUCUGCCUGUUCAACAGUUGCAGAGUUAUCCGAAGGUCGUGAGUUCGAUUCUCACAGAGGGCA
rnacentral:tRNA from 1 species